ensembl:lncRNA
GUAACUUUGUAACGUUGCCAGUUGGUAACUACGACGUCGUGGCAACCUUGUGGAUCUAUAGUCGUGUGUUGGUAACCAGUUCGUCAUUUUAAUUCUUAAUCUAUAUGGGCGGACGUGGCUAAUUUAACUUGUCCUCAUUUGCCCAAAAACUAUUUAUGAAAGACACGAAUUUGAUUAAUUCAUGUUGUUUAUUACAGGUAUAGAUAAAUCACAAAUAACAAAACGGUAAACAGGUUUUUAAACAUGUAAAUGAACAGGUUUCUAAUCAUGUAAAUGAACAGGUUUCUAAUCAUGUAAAUGAACAAAGAAGGUUUUCUUCAGAAGCUUGAACACCGAACCAUUUACUCCUCCACAUCUACUCCUCCGUCCACUCCUCUACAUGUCCCUAAAACAAGAAAAAUGAAAUAAAAGAAAGAAAGGACCAGCUUUCCAUUUCAUGACGGCAUCUGGAAUUAAACAGAGGUCACAGCCGUUACAGUAUGCUGUAGUGGCUCCAUACAUUGUUAGUGGCUACUGCGCGCAUUACCCUCCUUACACACUCCCCUGGACUGGCCCCACUAAUAAGGCUGAGAUGGUGUGUCUGGAAAAAAAACACCAUUUGUUGGCAUGCAGGGUCCUUAAGGUGGUUCUCAAGGUCCUCCAAUUCCUCCAUGCACUGAGCUGUCUUGAGGUCCAAGAUAUCAUCCUCCCUUUGACGACCCUGGUUCCUCCGCAGUAAAAGUAGAAUUUCCCUCUGGGAGGCCGCCAGGGUGUCUACUUUCUGCAGCAGCACCUGCAGUGUUUCUGCAAUAAAGGUUUUUCUUUAAAUAAUUGAAGGAUUGAAAAAAGGUAACUUAUUUUAAUUUUAAAUAUUAACAGAAUAAUUUACCAACAAAAAAAAAAUUAAUUAACCUAAGGGUUAGAGGUAGAGGUCCCAGUAACCACGGGACCCGACAAGAUUUCUUGUGAUGCGAGAUUAAAUUCCCAAGUAAAACGCGGCAGCAGUCGAUAACUUUGGUGUAAUUUGAGAGCGGUUGGUCUAACAAUAUCUUUUUCCCGACAUCCUUUCAGAACAGCAUAUCUGCGCUUUAUUCUUGUUGACCACAGGUACAUCCUGCACUCAGGACUGUUAUGCAUGCGCUGCACGCAUGAACCAGUGCUUUCUGCGGCAGAUUUUACAUGCGGGGUCAGCAUGUGCAUAAUAGUGUUCAGUGACAGAGCGGUACAAGGAUGGAGCAAAGUGUGGAUGUGCUGUCCUUGAAGGACGUUUAACAUGUUUUAAUAUAUUAUAUAUAUAUAUAUAUAUAUAGGCUAUAAUAAUUGACAGAUGUUGUAUAUAUUUAUUUAUUUUCUGUGACACUUUACUUACCAAUUUAGUAUUUUGACAAGAUGAAUAAAAAAUAGCUAAUAGGCUAUAUUUGUAUAUUUGUAAUAGGCUUUUUUUCCUACUGUGUUAAGACACAAAAUAUGUUUAACAUUCUAGUUAGAGGUAAACGCAUUUGUGUACAUUUUGUAUUUUUUGAUCACAUUUAAACACAUUUGCUAUCUUGUAUCUUUUACCUUUGAGGUCUUUUGGCACUGAAAAAUCUUGUGGACGCCUUGUCCAUGGUUGUCUCUCUGCUGAAAAGGUAGCAUCACAAUUCUGUUAGACAAUUAUGCAGACAUAUGCAGAUUUCUUUACCAUUUGAAUAUUCUGUUGCUGCCAUUGGGGAUGGUCUGGGAGGCUCUUCAACAUCUGCAAGCAAGUUGAAUACACAGUUGUUAAGCUUAAGUUGGAGGCCACAUAUUCUUCAGUCACAUCAAUUUAAAUUCUACCUUCAGCUGUUGCCUUGAGACGAGGAAAGGGUUCAUCUGAAUGGGAAGCACAAUAUUGAUUACUUUAAUGCUGAAGCUGACUUUACUAAUUUGAAAUUUGCAGAUGUACCUUGACGCUUUCUC